rnacentral:rRNA from 1 species
UCUGGUCAGGACGAACGCUGGCGGCGUGCCUAACACAUGCAAGUCGAGCGAGGAGAUUCCUUCGGGAUGAUCCUAGCGGCGGACGGGUGAGUAACACGUGGGCAACCUGCCUCAUAGAGAGGAAUAGCCUUCCGAAAGGGAGAUUAAUACCUCAUAACAUUGCAGUUUCGCAUGGAACAGCAAUUAAAGGAGUAAUCCGCUAUGAGAUGGGCCCGCGGCGCAUUAGCUAGUUGGUGAGGUAACGGCUCACCAAGGCGACGAUGCGUAGCCGACCUGAGAGGGUGAUCGGCCACAUUGGGACUGAGACACGGCCCAGACUCCUACGGGAGGCAGCAGUGGGGAAUAUUGCACAAUGGGGGAAACCCUGAUGCAAGCAACGCCGCGUGAGUGAUGACGGCCUUCGGGUUGUAAAGCUCUGUCUUCAGGGACGAUAAUGACGGUACCUGAGGAGGAAGCCACGGCUAACUACGUGCCAGCAGCCGC